CUCUCUUCCGGUCAUCCCUCAAUGUCCCUCUCGGCCUCUCCCCUCUCCUCUCCUCCGCCUCCGCCCUCUCCUCCCCCUUGCUGACUACUUCCUCCUCCCCGUCGACGGCGACCGCAGCUACAUCAUGCCCCCCUAACCCCCGUUUCCUUUUACCCCAUGAUAGCAAAAUAAAAGAAAAGAAGAAGAGGAAGAGGAAGAGGAUCUCAUCUAUUCCCUCUCCCUGGGAUUUCUUUGGCUCCCGUCGCCUUCCCUCUCCCUACUCUGUUCGAAGUCCUCCGUGCGUGCGAGCUAUUUAGGGUUCGGGUUCGAUCUCAUCUACGCGAGGUCGGAUCCUCUGCUCUACCGAGCAUGAAGUUUAGCUCAUUUACUUGGUGAUCCGGGGGAUUGUCAGGAAGGUGGUAGAGGAUUCUCAUUGGUUUAUUGGGGAGAAUAGAUCUCAUCUACCAUGAGGGGAUCUGCAGUUGGACAUCGAUUGACCAAGGAAUUGCCUACGUGCUGAUGCUAGUGGCCUUAGUCCUCACCUAUCUCAUCCACCCCUUGGAUGCUUCAUCACCUUACAAGCUCUUCUAAGCCCAUUCAUGGACUGAAUUGAUGGAUUUGUU